UACAGAGGUCUCAAGCGUUGUUCGGAUUCAUUGGGCGUAAAGGGUGCGUAGGCGGCGCGGUAAGUCGGGUGUGAAAUCCCCGGGCUCAACCUGGGAACUGCAUCCGAAACUGCCUUGCUAGAGUAUGGGAGAGGGAAGUGGAAUUUCCGGUGUAGCGGUGAAAUGCGUAGAUAUCGGAAGGAACAUCAGUGGCGAAGGCGACUUCCUGGACCAAUACUGACGCUCAGGUGCGAAAGCGUGGGGAGCAAACAGG
rnacentral:rRNA from 1 species